GCCUGGGUGGCUCAGUCGGUAAGCGUCUGACUUCAGCGCAGGUCAUGAUCUCGCGGUUUGUGGGUUCGAGCCCCACAUCGGGCU
rnacentral:tRNA from 1 species